ACGAUGCAGUGUGCCAGCCAAUAGGUUGGCAUGACUGAUAAAGCACACCGUAUUCUACGUGAGAAAUGUUGUGCUACGAAAGCGCACGAAAUUGUUUGGAGUUGAAUUGGUCCGUGCCGCACAGUACAUUUUUCGAUUACGGAAGACCGGUAUGUGGCAGUUCCUGACGGGGUUCGAUUAACUACAUAUGAAUAUACGCUGUGGAAACUUUGCCUGCAGUUCGACUAACUCAACAUGAAGUUGAUCAGCAAUUAAUAAUUUGCGUUGGUGAUCAUCAGAAGGAGAAAUUCAGAAAUGAUUGAGUAAGGAUAGCACCGAAGGAUUUGUACUAUUUGCUAAAGGUGUUUUCUAACAUAGCUCGCUAGGGAGAUUUACGGCAUCGAGUUCAUACUGACGAUUGUGUUAAAUCUAUUUGACGUGACUUUAUGACAUUUAUGUCAAUUUAAACUUGAUUAUCAAAUAAGAUCGAUUGUCUAAACGAAUAUGCCGAAGACUUCAGCUGCAAUUCGGUGAAGGAUCUGCUUUAUAAUAUCGUGUUUAAGCAUAACUCAAAUUCAUUCACGAAAAAAUGUUACUAAGGUCCUUUUGACAAAAUAAGCGAGCAUUCCUCGUUGGUGUCUCUGCUGCAGCCAGUGAAGAAGGAUAUAAAUAUUUAGCGCGAGCAGGAUAAAUUUGGCGCUGGAGCACACAGUGGAAUGACUUUAAGCUGCUCGUCAACUGGUUACUAAACAACAGGUUCACCACCAUUCAAAAUUCAACUGCACAAGUGAUUCUGAUCCAUUUGUUGACCUAAACAACAAGUAAUUCCACUCACGACAUACACAUCAGUAGCAUGUCUCGAUACAAAAGUCUAAAAAACACGUACCAGACGUCUCGGAAGCCUACAAGGUAUUAUUGAAAGUCUCAAUUUGAGACCAAUACUGCACAGGAGAAAUGGUGUUGUUAAAUGAUCAGACUACUGCGGCGUUACUGCAUGGAUCAGAGUGUUAAGAUCAACAACGGAAUGAUGAAAAACCUUGCACUGGUUCUGCGCCACAUACUCGAAUUGUAACGCGCAUAACAGAUCUAAUACGACGUGACCGUAAAUCGUCCAAUAGAUAUCGACUUGGCAAUUCUCAUCAACACAUGGAUUCAGUGCCGAAAACCUACCACAAAAGGUUGGAACAAAUUCGAUUACUGUUUAAUGACCACCGGUAAAUGGUGGUUGUUCGAAGUCUACAGCUUAUUACGCUACUGUUCCUCGAGUGCUCCGAAAGUUCGAAUGAAGCGAAAACGCAAACUAGAACCAUUACUUCUGACAGACGUUCCAAUCGAUGUCCACGAUGAAGAGGAUUUAGACCUCGGUGAACGGUCGAUAUCUAUUUUCUCAGUACGUCGAUUUUCAAUUUUCCCUGAACCAGAAUGACCAAUGCACGAACUAUCCGCUAUUGCAGCGCUACGCCAAGUCUCAAGCCGAUUUGAACGCCCUGUGUCGGAAGUACAAAGUGCUGGUCACCGAACAGUAGAUAAUGCGGGACAAAACUUUGAUCGCGACGAAUGCAUUAAGUGACGGGAAGAAAAAAUAGCCGGGAAGCGCUGCAGUUCUCCAGCAAUCCACUGAGUUCAGCUGCAAUCUGAAGGAUUCGAUGAAGCAGUUGUGCUCCCAAUGUGACCCAUCCUCGGACCCAUCCACGUACGAAGUAAUCGCAACCCGAAAAAUCUACGAGACUCAAGGCCUUCAUCCACUGCUCUGCAUUCUUCCGCCCAAUGCGCCCGUGUUGCUAAAUCCUACGUUUCCGUAGUCCGUGUCCGACCCAACUGGUCGCCCCAAUUAAAUUUCCAUUAUGUUCGCAUUCCUACGAAAAGACAUCACUGACAAGCGCUUCUCAACGGACGCUCGUAGUAUGAUGAUUGAUGGUGAAGCUGGCUGCCACCUAACCAUCACAACUAGGCACAAUCAUCCGUUUGUAUGCUGUUAAACGUCCUGUGAAGUCCUAUCGGGAUCGCAAACAGGGCGACUGCACUGGUACAA